UUGAAAGGGAAACGAUUGAAGUCAGUCGUACCUGCGGAUAAUCAGCCUUUAGGAUGCGAUUUUGUGGAGCGUGAGGAGCUAAUCGCCUUCAUGCCUGUAUAUUCGUGUACUUGGGGUGUACUUAUUCGUGUGGUAAGUUAACAUCAAUUUUGGUUGUCAUAAAAUGACUGGAGGAAUGUAGCUUCGAUCUCGUAUUGAAGUGUUAUAGCCUUUGGUAGAUGUGAUUAUCGGGAUUGAGGAUUGCAACGGAUACCCUUCGGGGCUACUUGUCUGAUCUCUGAUCGUUGCUCUGGUGCCGAAAGCGUGCUUACGGUUAUCAAAGUCGAUGGUUAAUAGGUUAGAACGGGUUAAUUCGUUAAGGAUGUUGACGUA
rnacentral:rRNA from 1 species